rnacentral:rRNA from 1 species
CCUACGGGUGGCAGCAGUGGGGAAUAUUGGACAAUGGGGGGAACCCUGAUCCAGCGACGCCGCGUGAGGGAAGAAGUAUUUCGGUAUGUAAAGCUCUAUCAGCAGGGAAGAAAAAGACGGUACUUGACUAAGAAGCCCCGGCUAACUACGUGCCAGCAGCAGCGGUAAUACGUAGGGGGCAAGCGUUAUCCGGCUUUACUGGGUGUAAAGGGAGCGUAGACGGUGCAGCAAGUCUGAUGAGAAAGUUAGGGGCCCAACCCCGGGACUGCAUUUGAAACUGUUGAACUUGAGUACAGGAGAGGUAAGCGGAAUUCCUUGUGUAGCGGUGAAAUGCGUAGAUAUUAGGAGGAACCCCAGUGGCGAAGGCGGCUUACUGGACUGUAACUGACGUUGAGGCUCGAAAGCGUGGGGAGCAAACAGGAUUAGAUACCCGAGUAGUC